ACGGGACCCCGCACAAGCGGUGGAUUAUGUUGUUUAAUUCGACGCAACGCGAAGAACCUUACCAGGCCUUGACAUACUCGGCAAAGCUCUAGAGAUAGAGUGGAGGUUAUCCGGGAUACAGGUGGUGCAUGGUUGUCGUCAGCUCGUGUCGUGAGAUGUUGGGUUAAGUCCCGCAACGAGCGCAACCCUUGUCUUUAGUUACCAUCAUUCAGUUGGGGACUCUAGAGAGACUGCCGGUGAUAAACCGGAGGAAGGUGGGGAUGACGUCAAAUCAUCAUGCCCCUUAUGGCCUGGGCUACAAACGUAAUACAAUGGCGUAUACAAAGGGAUGCGAAAGGGCGACCUGGAGCAAAACUCACAAAGUACGUCUCAGUUCAGAUUGGAGUCUGCAACUCGACUCCAUGAAGGCGGAAUCGCUAGUAAUCGCGGAUCAGCAUGCCGCGGUGAAUACGUUCCCGGGUCUU
rnacentral:rRNA from 1 species